GGUUAGUUACCCAAGUCCGGUUGAAGGGACCGCUCUCGAAAAGCGGCAGGGGUGGCAACACCCGCGAGGGUUCGAAUCCCUCACUAACCA
rnacentral:tRNA from 1 species